CUGCUACUGAGCUCUUGGUCUGCUGUGGGGAUGCAUCAGCAGGCAAAAGAGAGGGCAAGAUGCACAUUUUUGUCUUUCACAGGCUCCCCAUAGAUAUCCGUCCUGCGGUGGGCCAAUAGCGAUUGAACACCACGAGGCAGACCCUUCCAGACCAGGCCAUGGAGGCGCCGGAGACUAAAUGCCGUCCAUCUGUAUAGACCGGCUGAAAUAUUCCCCGCUGGACCAGGCCCUGCUGCAGGCUGGCUGAAGGGGGAGGGAGGAACUGCACCCUGCCAGGCAGCAAGCCACAGCCCGCAAGGACAGAGGGACAAAACCCUGGCGGGCUCGGUGGGACAGACCCUCGCAGGUCUCAGCGCAGUGGGGUAAUUGCGAUACGGCUGGGGCCCCUGUGCUCAACAACAUCCACACUCGCGUCGUUACCAGCGGCUCGUGCUCCGGUGCCCGUCAUUACAGGGAUGCGCCGAGCCGCCUUCUCUCGGCAGGACCAGGUGAGCUGAAAACAGUGUCCGAGAAGGCCAAUUCACCCGGCCCGGGGGGUCAGUGCAGAGAGGAUGCCUCUUCCUGGCUGCUUCAUUUCCACUGCCGGACAUGCCUGUGGCAGGACCGGCUCAUUACCACAGUACCUGAGCCCAGGAGCACCUGCUCCUGCAGUGAAAUCUGGGUCGUGCCUUGAUCAAGUCUGAGCGAAGAAGCCUAGAAACGCAUGCAGGGGCCGACGGGGUUUUCUGAGACAAUUUAAUUGCUCUGGAGCCCUGCCGAGUCAUAGCAGUCCUUUGGCACCUGCAGCCCUGCCUCCCAGGCCUGCUAGAGAGCUCCUACCCGAUGCCCCUUGCCCAGCUGCAACCCAAGACCCAUCUGGAUCUGGAAACCAGGCAAAGCGGUGUGCUGAGUGUCCUGAGGGGCCAGAUGCUUAGACGGCACGACCCCGAUCUUCACCAAUUUCAAGCAGAACAUCUGGAAACUAGCUCGGCUUCUUGCCUGAUGUAGCGGGGAGGGAAGUCCUCGCUGCUACAGCCCGUGGAACGAUGCGAUUGCUAGGGUUGCAUGCUGUGCAUGUGGAUGGCGGCUAUAAUUACUAAGCAGAAGCUGGGAGGGGGGAAAACGAGAGAGGACGCCAAGGGGCACAGCCUGUCCAUCAGCACUGGUAAGAAUCUCACCUGUUGGAUGAAAGAGAAUAUCUUGCCGGAAGAAUCAGGCCGUUGGAUGUAGCGGCUCUGAGGGGCAGUGGGACCUGUCCAGUGUCAGUGCACGGAGGGGGGGACCGAAGAUGGCCUGGGGGUGGGCACUUGAAGAACCUGCUGCAGUAGAUUUGCCAGAAGGCUCGGGCAGUAGUGCACAGUGGGUCAGUCGGCCUCUGUAGGGAGCAUUCAAGGGGAGGGCUCUGCAACCCGAUCGGGGUCCGCGGGGGGCUCACGGCUUCCUCCAUCCUGCUAUUGUGAGCGGGCAGUUUGGCAUUGCUGAGAACUGCAGCCGGGGCGCUGUGUGCUGGGGGCAGGAGUGGGGAGCACAGGGAGGGGAUUUCUGGGUGAAAGAACAGAGAAGGGGAAAUAGGGUUAGAGAAGUGUGGAGAAAUGCAAAAGCGGAAGGGGGUGACCCUUGUGCUGGUGACAAAACCAAGCAGUAGCAGAUUUCCCAGCAGCCACAAUGGGAACAAGUCCGGCAGGAAGAGAAUGGAGAGGAGGGAGGGGGAGAAGGCCUGAGUCUCAUGGAUUAUUUCCUA
ensembl:lncRNA